rnacentral:rRNA from 1 species
UACGGAGGGGGCAAGCGUUAUCCGGAGUUACUGGGUGUAAAGGGAGCGUAGACGGCUGUGCAAGUCUGGAGUGAAAGGCAUGGGCUCAACCUGUGGACUGCUUUGGAAACUGUGCGGCUUGAGUGUCGGAGAGGCAAGUGGAAUUCCUAGUGUAGCGGUGAAAUGCGUAGAUAUCACGCAGAACUCCGAUUGCGAAGGCAGCUUACUAAGCCAUAACUGACACUGAAGCACGAAAGCGUGGGGAUCAAACAGG